UAAGGAAUAUUGGUCAAUGGACGCAAGUCUGAACCAGCCAUGCCGCGUGAAGGAUGAAGGUCCUCUGGCUUGUAAACUUCUUUUAUCUGGGACGAAAACGGGAUUUUUAUCUCAAUUGACGGUACCAGAGGAAUAAGCACCGGCUAACUCCGUGCCAGCAGCCGCGGUAAUACGGAGGGUGCGAGCGUUAUCCGGAUUUACUGGGUUUAAAGGGUGCGUAGGUGGGCUUAUAAGUCAGUGGUGAAAUCUCCGAGCUUAACUUGGAAACUGCCGUUGAUACUAUAGGUCUUGAAUUAUCUGGAGGUAAGCGGAAUAUGUCAUGUAGCGGUGAGAUGCUUAGAUAUGACAUAGAACACCAAUUGCGAAGGCAGCUUACUACAUAUAAAUUGACGCUGAGGCGCGAAAGCGUGGGGAU
rnacentral:rRNA from 1 species